rnacentral:rRNA from 1 species
UACGUAGGGGGCUAGCGUUGUCCGGAAUCAUUGGGCGUAAAGCGCGUGUAGGCGGCCCGGUAAGUCCGCUGUGAAAGUCGGGGGCUCAACCCUCGGAUGCCGGUGGAUACUGUCGGGCUUGAGUGCGGAAGAGGCGAGUGGAAUUCCUGGUGUAGCGGUGAAAUGCGCAGAUAUCAGGAGGAACACCAAUUGCGAAGGCAGCUCGCUGGGACGUUACUGACGCUGAGACGCGAAAGCGUGGGUAGCGAACGGG